UAGCUCCGAUCAUAGAGCUAUCCCUACCUUGACAUGCGUGUGCGGGUGACUGCCGGGUGUGAAGCUCAAGGGACAAUGUAACGAAAGUGCUAGGGAAAAUAUCGAACGUGGUUAACGAAAGUGAACAUACGUACAACUAGGCUCCGUAAAAGGU
rfam:Grifola frondosa strain 9006-11 000063F, whole genome shotgun sequence.